AUGGAGACCACUCCAUCUCCAAAGGCAUCGCAUGCGUUUCUCAGGCUUCGCAAAGGUCUCAAGCCAUCUGUCUCCAUGUUCACCAUUCCAGAAAAAGAUUCACAACAAUCCAGCUCAGUGGCACGUCAAGUGUUCCCUGAAAAGAAUCCUUCUGCGACUGUUCAAGCGUCUGAAGCUAAAGCUGCUAAAGACAUUCCAGCUGCAUCAGCCAAUGAAGAAGAAAGAAGAGAAGAGAGAGAAAGAGAAGCCACACCCCCUAUUGUUGAACAAGUCAUUCUUGAAGAGAAUGUUAUCGUGCCUGACCCUCCGGUCGUUGACCAAAUGGAGGUUGAGAACAAUGAGGCUGCCAAUGACCCUGUCUUGGUUGAAGACCAUGUGGAGCUUGAAGCCAUGUGA
rnacentral:rRNA from 1 species